rnacentral:rRNA from 1 species
GGACUACCCGGGUUUCUAAUCCCGUUUGCUCCCCUGGCUUUCGCGCCUCAGCGUCAGAAAAGGUCCAGUCGAUCGCUUUCGCCACCGGCGUUCCUAUUGAUAUCUACGCAUUUCACCGCUCCACCAAUAGUUCCAUCGACCCCUACCUCCCUCGAGACUGCCAGUAUCAAAAGCACUUUUCCGGUUGGGCCGAAAGAUUUCACCCCUGACUUGGCAGCCCGCCUACGCGCCCUUUAAGCCCAGUGAUUCCGAACAACGUUUGGACGGUUCGUCUUACCGCGGCGGCUGGCAC